UAAGACAUGAAGAAAGAACCAAAGAGUUCUCAAAGUUUAGUACCCACGGCUGGUAAAAACCAUAAGACAUGAAUGACUGACCUUGCGGCCUAAUGAUUCCUAAGACAAAGACAUAAAAGAAUGGAAAACCAUAAGACAAAGGAGUCAAAAGACAUUGUAAGGGUAGUGCAUGCAUGUAAGGAAAUGAGUUGCGAUAUGUUGGAUGGAGCGGACUAAAGAAAUCUUAAGACAAGAUUGUGACUUGUUUGAUGGUAAAAAUGACCAGAACUUGGACCAACGUACGGCUUAAAGAAGGUAUGUGCUUCUCAAGUCACGGUGUUCAGAUUGUUAAGAAUUUUGAUAGGUAUAUGCUUUCAAACCUUUUUAUUUUUGUUUAAGUGCUUUCCAAACUUGUUUGUAAUUAGUAUAUGAAAAUCACAAGUGAGAGACCCAUACAACAUCCUGAGCUCCAAAGUGGUAGUUUCUGGUGCUUUUAUCAAGCCUUAAUGAUGACGCAGUUGGGAACAGAUUCCAAUUCGAGAGACUAGGUACUAUUUUCAGUUUGAAAAUCAUAAAAAUUGCUUGCGUUUCUAGAUGAGCGCAUUGUGUAUUUUAAUUUUACUAUUCUCUAUGUUUCAGUGCUUGUGUAUCAUAAGCUCUCUUAUUCUAUAUAGUGGAUGUAGAGUCUCUCGUAGAUUAACUUAUGUAGUUUGUGUUCCUUGAACCUUGAAAGAAUUUUUUUGCCUUCUGCUCUAAAACUUUGGUGAUUGUUUUAAACAUGUGAAUGACAUCCUAGGAUUUUGCAUCA